UGUUUUUAAAAAAGCACUUAUAUUUGGUUGUUCUCAUUCUUUGGCAGUGGGAAAUCCCUCCUUCAAUUACAAUUUUUAAUACAAUGGAGCCUGGACAAUUCCCCAGCUGAGAUAAGGGGCCCCUUAAUUUCUGCCUACCAGCUGUUGCACAGUGUUUUUCAUCUGAACAUCUCAAGGUGUUUUUUUAAGGGGAUUGGUUUUAAUUAGUAUUUUUAUCCUUAUUUUACAGGUGGGAAACUGAAUCAUGAAGAGAUUAAAUGAAUGCCCAAGGGCAGCGAGGGCACCAGCAGCAGUAGUGGGACUAGAACCUUAACCUUAAGGCUUAAGCCAAAGCUUUAACCAUUAGGAAACAUUGCCCUCCCCCACACCCAUUGUACACAGAACUAUAUGUACCAUAGUAUGGGACAGUUUCAGACUUGAAGCUCUUAAAAUAGGCAAGACAGACAAAGAGUGGAAGAAAGAUGGAAGUAGAAGAUACUUUGGAGGGAUUUAGGUGCCUAACUCCCAUGGGAAGUAAAUAUCUAGCUACCUUUGAAGAUGUGGGAAUGAGAGAUUAAGUGAUUUGCCCAAGGUUACACAAGAAGUUUUUGGCAGAGCCAGGAACUUAACCCAGUUUUCUGGAAUUCCAGUCUACUGCUGUAGCCACAACCUCAUCCUUGGCUCUUAUGCUUUUUGCCUGUUUCACUGCAAACAGAGUCACAUGGGAUAAUUUAGGAGGAUGAAAAAUUCUCAUCUUUGUAUCUAUCUUUCAGGCUUUAAACACCUAAUUUGGAAGACAGUUAACAGAUGCACAGAAGAUGAGCAAAAAGGAACAAAACUAGAAGGAAGAAGACCCACUUUUUUAAACCCAGAAGUGAGUUGCCCAUGGCUGCAGCCUACAGCUUUAACGCUUUAUUCCACUGCCACCGUGAGGUGUGAUGGGACGUAUCAGGCUUUUUCAGGCCCCCUACUAGAAUCCUCCCUGUGCUACCACACCCUGCUCCGGAAAAAGAGCAAUAAAGGUGAGUCCUCCAGGCCUGUCUAGAAAGGCUGCAGAGAAUCAGCCAAUCACAGUCCAGCAAGCUGAGCUAAAAGGAGCUGCAGGGACUGAACAGCUCAGUUCCCUUGUGGGAACCAGAAAAAGCAAGGAUGGGGCUUGUUGCAGGAGCUCAGGGGAGAAUGAGAAGAUGAGUUCUGGUGAUGGAAGCAUUCUGUGAGAAAGAACUUCCAUCCUGAGAAUGAACAAUGACUAUGAGAUUCCUCCAAUGACCACAACCAAUCGUGUGUGGACACUAUAUGAAAGUUUAUAGUUAAGGUCAUUUUGAAUUACGUGAGGAGGGAGAA